rnacentral:lncRNA from 1 species
GCUAUCCAUGAGAAUUUAAUUAAAUUAUACCAUAAGAUAAACAAAGGUUAGUCAAACACAAUAUCAAAUAGCAAAGGGAGGAUAUAUUGAAUUUGGGCAAUUUGGGCCUUCAGCCCAAAUUACUAAAUCUGCAAAAAUAACAAUUCAUUGGACUUUUGGCCCUUCUUCCAUCUUCAUUGAUCAUGAUAUACACCAAGUGUAUAUUCAAGGUGUACACCAUGUAUACCGCGGAUUCUCGAACUCCCGAACCUGUAAUUUCAUUUGGAUUUCGUAUUUCUGCACCUUUAACCUGUGUUUUCACGUUUUUGCCCUGUAUGUGAUAUUUUCUGACUGUAUAUUAGUGUAUACAACAGGUAUAUUAGCACUUUUCGGGCUUUUCGGACACUAGAAAAUCCGAAUUCCAGCUAUGUUAAACCUUCGGGGACCUGUACUUCAAUUUUCUGUUGGCUGACCCGAAUGAUAAAACAGGGCCUUCGUGGUUCGACUCGGAAAUGCAAGGAAGUGAAGUCCGUUGUGGACUCAAAGGGGUGCAUA